AACGAACGCUGGCGGCAUGCCUAACACAUGCAAGUCGAACGAGACCUUCGGGUCUAGUGGCGCACGGGUGCGUAACGCGUGGGAAUCUGCCCUUCGGUUGGGAAUAACUGAGAGAAAUUUCAGCUAAUACCUUAUAAUGUCUUCGGACCAAAGAUUUAUCGCCGAGGGAUGAGCCCGCGUAGGAUUAGGUAGUUGGUGGGGUAAUGGCCUACCAAGCCGGAGAUCCUUAGCUGGUCUGAGAGGAUGGUCAGCCACCCUGGGACUGAGACACGGCCCAGACUUCUACGGGAGGCAGCAGUGGGGAAUAUUGGACGAUGGGCGAAAGCCUGAUCCAGCAAUGCCGCGUGAGUGAUGAAGGCCUUAGGGUUGUAAAGCUCUUUUACCCGGGAUGAUAAUGACAGAACCGGGAGAAUAAGCUCCGGCUAACUCCGU
rnacentral:rRNA from 1 species